UUAUGAAGCUGCAGGCCCAAUUAUUGGAACAACACAAAAUAUUAGAUAACAGCAAAGCUAAGGAUGGUAAGGCCUAAUACGUAAUGAUUCUAUUUAUUUGCUUUUAUUCAUUUGUGUUUUGUAGCUCAAAUUUUGAGUCUACAAGCUCAGCUAGGGCAAAAGAACAAAUUGGAACGGAACAGUUUCCAAACAGUGAAGGAGGUUUUUCAAAACUCUUCCCUAACUGAACGUGAGGAUGAAUUGGCAUUAGGCGAACACAGUCAGUUAUUCAGUCCACCACCUGACAGUGUGUUAAAUUUAAAUUCUGUUCGUGCUGCACUAAAAGAAUUGUUAGUAAUAAGUCCAUGCAGCGAAGGAAGUGAACAAUUGUGGGACCGUAUUUGGGCUGAAAAUGGGUGUGGUACGGAAACCCAGAAAUAGCAUGAGUUCAACAUAAAACAUGAAUUAGAAUUUUAGUGGGGGAUCAAGUCAAGUCUGGAAGUGUUACAGGAUGGAAGAGUGAGCCUACAGUUGAAAAACACUGAAAGUGCAUUACCAUUAAGAUAUGAGGUAAAGUAAUAGAGUAUGCAAAUUGUCUAAUGAGAAGUACCAUCUUGUGUGAAUGAAUCCUUUAUAGUUCUGUCACAACUAGAAGCCUCAAAUAAUUCUGCUUCUCUUGCUAAAGAACAACUUGUCCUUUACGUUCAGAGUGUUGGUGAAGCUGGGUACUUAAAUGGCCCUAAAGAUGUUUCAUUUCGUUGGCAUUGCAGCGAUGAACAUCAUACAUGGACUUUUUAGGAAAGGAUUUUCAGCAUACUGGGAACACAACUAUCAACAAUGCAACAUUCUAGGGGUGCUAUUUUAUCAUUCAAGAGCCUUAUACAAUGAUAUUUAUCUGCAAUUUGUAUGGCCUUUCCCAAGCUUCUGCCAGAAGUUGAA